rnacentral:rRNA from 1 species
AUUGAACGCUGGCGGCAGGCCUAACACAUGCAAGUCGAGCGGAUGAAGGGAGCUUGCUCCUGGAUUCAGCGGCGGACGGGUGAGUAAUGCCUAGGAAUCUGCCUGGUAGUGGGGGAUAACGUCCGGAAACGGGCGCUAAUACCGCAUACGUCCUGAGGGAGAAAGUGGGGGAUCUUCGGACCUCACGCUAUCAGAUGAGCCUAGGUCGGAUUAGCUAGUUGGUGGGGUAAAGGCCUACCAAGGCGACGAUCCGUAACUGGUCUGAGAGGAUGAUCAGUCACAAUGACAGUGAGACACGGCACAGACACAGAAGGGAGGAAGGAGGGGGGAAUAUGGGAGAGGGGAAGAAAGUAAGAACCAGCAGUGCGGUGUGGGGGAAGAGUGUAUGCGAUUGGAAAAGAAUUUAAAGUGGGGAGGAGGGGUAUUAAGUUAUUAUAUUGAUGUUUAGACAAAACAAAAAGAAAAAACCCCGGAUAACUGCGAGAAAAAAGAAAUGGAAAGAAGGGGAAAAGAACACUUUGCAAC